GCCCCGGUAUCCCAACCGGUAGAGGAGGCCGCCUUAAAAGCGGUUCAGUCUGGGUUCGAACCCCAGCCGGGGCA
rnacentral:tRNA from 1 species